AGUGGUACAGGGCUGUGAUAUGGUUUGGAUGUCUGUCCCCUUCAAAUCUCAUGAUGAAAUGCGAUCCCUAAUAUUGGAGGUAGAGCCUGGUGGGACCUGACUGGAUCAUGGGGGCAGAUCCCCAGGAAAGGCUUAGCGCCACAUCGCCUAGGUGAUGAAUGAAAAUCAACUGGUCUUUGAAGAACUUUGAUUCAUUAGUGAGCUUGAAAACCCAACACAAUAAACAGAUAGUGGAAGUGGAAGGAGUAUCCCUAAGGAUGCAUUUAAGGAGAAAUGAUGUGACAGAAGAUUUGAAAGCAAAAAAGAAUCUAUCAGGAAGAUAAGAAAGCAAUUAUUAAACAAAAAUUAAGAAGCCAAUCGCCCUCCCAAGUUUCUACCCCUUGGUAACAUUACUGAUUCACACUAGUCAAAAGUGCUGAAUAAUUUGCUACAUGCCAUUGGAAAACUAUAUAACUUACUACUAAUAAAACACCUCACUUCUUUUUACUGUCUUUCUUCAUUUACCCAAGUCACCUCUUUUAAGAGCCAUCUUUGAUUUGCCUACAACACAUUCAUCUACACUGAUUGCUUGUACAAGAAAACAAUGCAACCCAGCAAUGUCAGAGACUGAAAGGUUGUCUUCUUGCUGUGUAAGAUUUACUGUGAAUAGAGGGAGGAUGUGGAAAAACGCUACAACCAUUGCUCCAGGGACUAUCUCUGCC
rnacentral:lncRNA from 1 species